AAGUCGAUCUUGGGAGGAAGAUUUGUCUUCUUCUUUUAAUUCAUUAAACACGGGGCAACUUUGGAAAUGUGGUUAUCUUGCACUUAUCGUAAAAUAAGUGUCUGAUAAGCGAGUAUUUUUGAGCUAUUUGGAUAGUGAAAGUUGGUGAAAGUGCUUUUCUCCCCAUUUUUCGUGAGACGGGGCAUCCCGACAUUUCUAUGCCCACGGCGGCCCGGCGUUAAAUCACAUUAUCAUUCAGUCCACGACAAAGUUUGUUUUUUGAUCGUGGUGGUCUGUCAUUAUUAAUUUUUUGAAAAUUCGUUUUCGAAAUAUAAAAAAAUACUUAUUUUUCUGAUAUCUUGAACAAUGGCGGAUUUUGUUUCUCUAUUGGUGGAUAUGGGAUUUGAUCCGGAGAAGUCGAAGAUGGCUGUCGAGAAGACGGGAAACCAAGGGGUCGAACCUGCAAUGGAGUGGAUACUUUCACACCCUGACGAACCAUCACCAUCAGCAGAGGGAGGAGGAUCAAAUGACAACACUUCAACGACAACCCCAGCGACUGAUACGAAAACUGAAGAAGUUCCAAAAUCGUGGAAAUGUGAAGAUUGCGGAAAACUGUUCGCAUCGAUGGACACCGUCGAGUUCCACGCAGCCAAAACGAACCAUUCCAACUUUUCAGAGUCCACUGAGGAAAAAAAGCCCUUGACAGCUGAAGAGAAGGCCGAACAGCAGAAAAAGUUGGUGGAACUCAUGAAGACGAAAAGGGUCGAGCGUGAAGCAAAAGAGAAACUUGAAGAAAUUGAGCGAGAAAAACAGCGAAUGGCGAGUGGGAAGGAUUUGAUCGAAGCCAAGCGUCGUCUCGAAGAACAAGAGAUGAAGGAGAUGAUCGCGCAAAAACAAAGAGAGAAGAGGGAAGACAAGGCGGCCAGGGACAGGGUCAAGGCUCAGAUCGAGGAGGACAGGUUGGCCCGGAAGGCCAAGUUUGGUGGUGGCGGAAGUGGUACUUCAAUCACGGAGAGUCCACCAGUGUCAGUAAAACCAAGUCCAAUGGAAGUCGACGUGGUCAAGAAGGACUACACUCACACAAAGUUGCAACUACGACUUCCCAGCGGAAAAACGAUGACACAAACUUUUGGGGUAAGCGAGCCCCUGGCCGCAGUCCGUGUAUACAUUGAAAUGAAUCGUGACGACGGAGUGGAAGGAAGCUUCAAUCUCAUUACAAACUUCCCAAGGAAAACCUUUGUUGAGGACGACUAUGACAAACCCCUUCUUACUUUGGGACGUUCUCGGACAUCACGUAAGCAUCAAUAAACAAUGCCGAUAGUGAAAUGAGCAGCAUUGCAUUGUUUUACACACCACAUACAGAAGUACAUUAAAGCCAAUUUAUUGUACGAAUUUAUGUUACAUAAAUCACUCAAUUAUUAAAUUCCAUUCUAACACUCAUAAAACUUAUGGACAUGCAAAUUACUGAUUACAUAAGGAAGUACAGGAAAUGGAACGUAACACAUCAAUUUGAUCGUCUUUGUGAUAUUAAAAUUUCCUCUUGGUGGAGAGGAACAAUAAAGCUGCUAAAAUGCUAAGACGUACAUUAUUCCUUGUCACCUUUACUUUCGCACUUUGUAAUUUUGAAUUUUACAAGAAAUUUGUUUAUUCUAAAAUGUAAAAAAGCUCAAAUUUAUUGUCAAUCUUCUUUACUAGAUUUUUUAACAUUGAUUCAAAACUCGGACGGAUUAGGAAUUUUUCAUAAACGGAGAAUAAUUGGGAAAGAG